UAUAAUGUGUUAUAAGGUCCAUGACUGUGGCAGAUCUCUACUUUGUGAUGUAAUAUGAAUAUACUGCACUACUGUGACGUACAGUAAUGUGAAUAAGGUGCUCUACUGUGUGACACAGCGUGAAGAGGGCAAUACUGUGAAGUGAAUAAACUGCACUACUGUGACGUGAAUAAGAUGGAUUCAGUACCACAUGCCCCACCCACCCAGGAACAUGCCGGGCAGGAAGAGGGAAGCUCCAGAAGUGACCGCCUCGUUAUUGAUACGGAGGCAGAGGAGGCGGAUGAGAUGGGGGAGCCUUCAGGCCAGCCUGGGGGAAAAAGAUACCACGCAGAGAUGCAAUGGAUGGCAAAAGGGUGAAACUGAAACUUACCAACUGCUUUAUGCCUUCAAAUGUCCACAUGCCAGUCAGACAGAUACUGCAUUCGGUCAACGCUGUUGUGAAAAGUGCCUUCUUCACCUGUGUGCCCAUAGCACUAGGCAGUGAUGCAAGGGAAACAUGGGGCCAGAAUGAGAGAUUUUCUGCUUGAUCUGGUGGAAACAUUUUAAUAACCUCUGCCUAAAAAGAGAAAACACUUCAGGCAGUCAUACUCUAUAUUAGCUUUACAAUGGAAAACCACUUGUGCAUAACAAUUUUUUUUUUUGUUAUCAAUGUCAUAUUUACAACACUGGAUUUAAGGGUUAAGUCUUAUAGAUCCUGCUGUGGUUAUAAUUUACUACUAUCCUAAUCACUUUGACACAUAAAUCAAUUUCCACAAACAGUUAAGUUGAAUACAGAAAUCUGACCUAUUAAGUAAUGCUGCACCACUGUGUAAUGGUAUGUGAAAGCUUUGAACUAUUCAGUUGUUAACACGUUUGACAAAAGAAACUUUUAGAAUAAAAAGGGAGUUUAAUACCUGGUGACCAGAAUCCAGUAAAAAGAGCAGACGUCUAAGUAGUACAGUAAGGUGAGCAAGCUGGCAGGUGUCACUAGGACAUGACUUCACCUGUACACAAACAUCAAAAUAAUCACUUUAAUAGUCUACAUACAAACAAUUUAUUAUAGUUAGAUACAUAGAGAGAGAGAAAGAGAGAGAUAGAUAGAUAUAUCAUAAUGAGAUAUUUUGUGGAUAGGACCUACAGUAAGUGUAAACACGAAAUGCAUUUAUGUUUCAUACACAAAUGACCUGAAGGUCAUUUUGUACAAUAAUUUAGUACAUAAAACAAAGGUUGCAUACAUACAUGAAACCCAUUUGUUUCAUAUGUACUUUAUACACAUAGCCUGAAGGUAAUUUUAGACAAUAUUCAUAAUAAUUGUGUGUGAAACAAAGUUUGUGUACAUAUUUUGCAUAUGGCAGACCAACAUUUUACAUUUUAUCAGGGUUGGGAAAAAAAUGAAAAGUUAAUAUAUCUGAUGCAUAUAGUCACAUAUUUACUUAAUCAAUAGGACUAACACAGAUGAGGUAAUGGACCAGAUUCAGAUCUUAAUACAUUAGUAAGCUAAGCAGAACCUGAGACAUCACUUAAAUGGACAGAAAAGUUGGUCAUAAAUAAUUAAAUAUUAAAUGGCAGCUAUAAAUUAUAUUCUUUAGGUCUCAAUUGGUUUAUCUUAUGAUAGUAACAUAGUAAUUGAUAUAAAUGUAAUAAAGAGGCAAAAUGCC